CUAAAGUAUUAAUAGUUAUGUUCUUUAAAUUUAAAAAAUUUGGCGGUAUUUUAGUCUGUUCAGAGGAACCUGUUUUAUAAUCGAUAUUCCACGUUGGACCUUACUUUAAUUUAUAAAUUAGUUUAUAUACCGUCGUUAUAAAAAAUUUUAUAAGAAUAAUAAUUUUUAAUAUAUUAAAUAAAAUUAAAUAUCAGAUCAAGGUGUAGCUUAUAUUAAAGAAAAUAAUGGGUUACAAUAAAUUUAUUUAUAUGGAAAUAAAUAUGAAAAAUUUAUAGAAAGUGGAUUUGAAAGUAAAAUUAUAUAGAUUAAUAAUUUGAUUUUAGCUCUAAAAUAUGUACAUAUCGCCCGUCACUCUUAUUAUUAAAAUAAGAUAAGUCGUAA
rnacentral:rRNA from 1 species